rnacentral:rRNA from 1 species
GGGGGGGGGGGGGGGGGGGGGGGGUAGGGGGGGGGGGGGGGAACAGGGGAGGAGCUGGGUCCUCGGACGGUAGCGGCGGACGGGGGAGGAGCACGUGGGUAACCGACCGAUGAGACUGGGAUAAGGUCGGGAAACCGGAUCUAAUACCGGAUCAUAUAUUGAACCGCAUGGUUCACUAUUGGCAGACGGUUUUGCUGUCACUUAUAGAUCGAUCCGCGCAGCCUUAGCUAGUUGGUAAGGUAACGGCUUACCAAGGCAACGAUGCGUAGCCGACCUGAGAGGGUGAUCGGCCACACUGGAAUUGAGACACGGUCCAGACUCCUACGGGAGGCAGCAGUAGGGAAUCUUCCGCAAUGGGCGAAAGCCUGACGGAGCAACGCCGCGUGAGUGAUGAAGGUCUUCGGAUCGUAAAACUCUGUUAUUAGGGAAGAACAAAUGUGUAAGUAACUAUGCACGUCUUGACGGUACCUAAUCAGAAAGCCACGGCUAACUACGUG